AGUCCUCUGCUUCCCACAGGAUCUGUG
rnacentral:misc_RNA from 1 species